GACGAACGCUGGCGGCGUGCCUAAUACAUGCAAGUCGAGCGAAUCAAAGGGAGCUUGCUCCCUGAGGUUAGCGGCGGACGGGUGAGUAACACGUGGGCAACCUGCCUAUAAGACUGGGAUAACUUCGGGAAACCGGAGCUAAUACCGGAUAAUUCAUAUCUACUCAUGUAGAUAUGCUGAAAGACGGUUUACGCUGUCACUUAUAGAUGGGCCCGCGGCGCAUUUGCUAGUUGGUGGGGUAACGGCUCACCAAGGCGACGAUGCGUAGCCGACCUGCGAGGGUGAUCGGCGUCACUGGGACGGGGACACGGCCCGGACUCCUACUGGAGGCAGCAGUAGGGAAUCUUCCGUAAUGGCCGAAAGUCUGACGGCGCAACGCCGCGUGAGUGAUGAAGGUUUUAGGAUCGUAAAACUCUGUUGUUAGGGAAGAACAAGUACUAGAGUAACUGCUAGUACCUUGACGGUACCUAACCAGAAAGCCACGGCUAACUACGUGCCAGCAGCCGCAGUAACAC
rnacentral:rRNA from 1 species